GGACGCUGCACGCAGCAUGGAGACUGCGCCUGCGCACUCGAAGCUUCAGACUCCGCCCCACGGCGGGGGGCGGGGCGUCGCGGAGGUCAGCUGACCCCGGCGGGCUCCGAUCCUGAAGCUGACACUGGCUGUGGAUCUUGAACUGGUUGUCACGCACACAGAGUGACCACGUAGGAAUCUCUGUGCAGGUGGCAAGGAACUGAGAGGGCGUCUUUCUUCCUGCUCCUUCAACCAGCCAUACUCUGGCUUGGGCUGUGGCUUCCUUGUAGGACAAACCUUUGCCAGCCUCUUGACCCCUUGGCCGUGUUCAUACACCUGUACCUUCUUUCCUGCUGGGACCCUCCCUCUGCAGCCAUGGUCUGGAGGACACUGGGCGCCAGCAACUUUUCCACCUGUCCCAAUGGCUCUGUCCAGUGGAUCUGGGAUGUGUUUGGUGAAUGUGCCCAGGAUGGCUGGGAUGAGGCCAGCGUGGGCCUGGGCUUGGUCUCCAUUCUCUGUUUCGCUGCGUCUACCUUCCCCCAGUACAUCAAAGCCUGCAAGACAGGCAACAUGGACCAGGCCCUAUCCCUGUGGUUCCUGCUGGGCUGGAUCGGUGGAGAUUCCUGCAACCUCAUUGGCUCCUUUCUGGCAGACCAGCUACCCCUGCAGACAUACACGGCUGUGUAUUAUGUCCUGGCCGACCUGAUGAUGCUGACGCUGUACUUCCAUUAUAAGUUCAAGAAGCGACCUUCUCCGUUGUCUGCCCCUAUCAAUUCUGUGCUCUUGUUCAUCUUGGGGACGGUGUGUAUCACACCACUGUUGAGCGGCACUGAUCCUGUGGCUGUCCCCAGGGAAGGCUUCCGGGGGCGGACACUCCUGUCUGUGGAGCCAGGCAAUAAGCCCUUCACGAAGAAGGAGGUCAUCGGCUUUGUCAUCGGCUCCGCCUCCAGUUUGCUGUACCUGCUCUCCAGGCUGCCUCAGAUUCGCACCAAUUUCAUACGGCAGUCAACCCAAGGCAUCUCCUACUCGCUGUUCGCACUGGUGAUGCUGGGGAACACGCUGUACGGGCUCAGCGUGCUGCUCAAGAACCCCGAGGUGGGCCAGAGUGAGGGCAGCUACCUGCUGCACCACCUGCCCUGGCUCGUGGGCAGCCUGGGGGUGCUGCUGCUCGACACCAUUAUCUCCAUCCAGUUCCUGGUGUACAGAAGCCAUGAGGCUGCUGCUGCCUCAGAGCGAGAGCCCCUCCUCCCCAGCUGAUCAUCGUCCUGGAUGAUGGGAACCUCAGCUGCCAAACCAGGAAGGAUAAGGCUGACCUUGAAGCCUGUAGGUAGCCACGGACGAUCCCGUCUCCAUCUCCCAGGUGCUGGAAUCCCAGGCUCACACCACCAUCCUGGGCUCUGCAAUCUAUCUUGGCAUAUCUUGAUUACAGAGAACUCUACCCUUUAAGCAGCAGGCUCAGACAAUCGUUUGUGAGUUUGCUCUCUAGUGACUUAAGCAUGUUAUAUUGCACGCAGACAGACCCAGGUCCCAAAGAGAGGCAACCCAUAUGGCAAAGCUUGUCCCUCAGUAGAAUGAUGCAUCUUUCCUAACUCACAAGUAGCCCUACACAGGUGUCCCAGCCAGAGCUAAACAGCUUGCCUGGUGUAAUGGCACAGGCUCUUAAUCCCAGCACUCAGAGGCAGGCUGAUCUCUAUGAGUUCAAGGCCAGCCUGGUCUUCAUGGUGAGUUCCAGGCCAGCCAGGGCUACAUAGUGAAGCCCUGUCUUGAACAAACAAGCCUAAGCAACUGUACAGUGACAUUAAGUGCCAGCCUGCAUAGACCCUGUGACAGGAGUAGUCUGUUCAUUGUUUCCUACUGUUCUCUGCUGUCUUGCCUGAUGCUGAUCUAAUAAACUCUCUCCUGACCUUU